rnacentral:rRNA from 1 species
UACGUAGGGUGCGAGCGUUGUCCGGAAUUAUUGGGCGUAAAGGGCUCGUAGGCGGUUUGUCGCGUCGGGAGUGAAAACUCAGGGCUUAACCCUGAGCCUGCUUCCGAUACGGGCAGACUAGAGGUAUGCAGGGGAGAACGGAAUUCCUGGUGUAGCGGUGAAAUGCGCAGAUAUCAGGAGGAACACCGGUGGCGAAGGCGGUUCUCUGGGCAUUACCUGACGCUGAGGAGCGAAAGCAUGGGGAGCGAACAGG